CCUAACAGAACCAUCUAAAAACUAUACUCUUCGUGGCAUUUAAAUAUCAAACAACACUAGAUUGAUCAUUAAAUAACUUAACUUACCUUUUUGCAGCUGAAGUAUUCCUCUUGAGAACUGUGUCCGCCGAAAUCUCCUCAGGAUUAACCGCCGAAUCUCUCUCUCAGGCGGCUGAUCUCCUUCAUUCUAGCAGCGGCCGCCGGAGACAAAACCAGCUCGGGCCGAAGGUAGAUACACACAACUACACCGAGUGCGGACCUGCCGCACGUACAACAGCUUUCAGCCGAGAUCGGCCCAGAGAGAAAAAGCGUCUGUCAGCCAGAAGUGUUUUGUAGAGUCGGCGCGGCUCAGACUCGAGUCUGAAGAAGCCACAUUUGGGCGGUUUUCUACUCAGAGGAGAUAAUUCAUCAAACGAAUUGGCCCAGACGUCUGCAGUGUCAAGUGAAGGAAGCUCCUCUCAUAAGAUUGCAAACCUGGAGUCUGAUGAGCGUCAGUGAUGGAAGCCCUUCAAGAAAGGAGCAGAAUGCUGAAGAUGAAGCCAGAAUUGUGAUUCUGUGUCAUUUAUAUGUUAUUAUGUGUACAGUAAAAAUUAAACACACAAAUGAAUAUGAAAAAUUUAUUUAACUGGGCAGCCACACAAUAUCUGCUUAUGCUCACACCUGGAAUUUACUAAUUAUUAAUUUAAGAUAUCAAAACACAUAAAGCCCAAAAAUGAAAACUUGUCAUUUCUCACUCUCUGUCAUUCCAAACAUGCAAGACUUUCAUUCAUUUUCAAAACACAAAUGAAGAUAUUUUAAAUGAUUCUUUAUGAAGUUUAUGAAUUAUUAAAGUGGUAGUUGCGUGGACCGUCAAUCAAGGGACAGGAAUCUUAUAUUCUAUUAAAAUAUCUUCCGUUGUGUUUCAAAGAUAACGAAAGUCUUGGUUGAGUAAACUAUGGAAUUUUCAUUUUUGAACUAACCCUGUAAUAAAAGAAUGUGGCCAUAUGCGUCUUGUGCUUGUUCACUUGUGCAUCACCCAAGAUUCAUGCUAAUGCCAGGUGUGAACAGAGCCACUGUGUGACUACACAAUCAGUUUAGCAGAAUGGUUCCUGAGAGAGAUAUUGUCAUUAUUUUAUUAUUUUUUUCCCCAAGAAGCCAAGUUCCUGGCUUUUCCCAAGACCUUCAAGGACACAAUUGAUUAUUCAUUUAUUAUCUAUAUUCUGUGUUCAUGCAUUUUUUGCUGAAGUUGUCAUAUCUGUUAUUUAGAAUGGGACAGCGAUAUUGCAUCAAUUUGUCUCCUUCUUCAUUUGAUUCCACCAUCACCACAAGGCUGCAAGGGGCCUGGAGAAAUGUCCUCCUAUCAAGCUGAAAAAUAUCUUCAAAAAGGCACUAAUAAGAACACCUUGAUUGCAUAGAAGAGACCACACAGCCUAGGGCUGCACGAUUUGGAGAAAAACUCUAAUUGCGAUUUUUCUGAUCAAAAUUGCGAUUUGCGAUUUAAAAUGCAAUUUAUUACUAUUUCAUAAAAGAGCUACAGGUUUGCUGUGGUGGUUUUAACAGCACCAAAGAAAGACCAAGCAUAAUCACAAACUAUGCUACACUGUGCUAUUGUUUAUUUAAAACCUCUUAAACAUUGUGUCCAUUUUUUUAUUUUUUUAUAAAGUUUGUCAGGAUGCAAACAUCUGUCAUGACAUUAAGAACUACAGUAUCUUAAUUAAAGUUAAAUUAACAAUCAUAUAUAAAAUCUUAAACUUUUAAGAACCCAAACACACUGUACUUUAGGCAGGUUUUACGCCCGUUUCACGUAUGCUCCGUUUGCAGUGCGUAUUUUUUCCCGCACCCAUGUUGACGGAUUAAAGCGUUCUCUCUGCAUGCGGUUGCGGUCCGGCAGUGCUUUCCUGGAGCGGUGCGUCUGCAGCACGCGCUGAAUUAAAGUGACAGCGCUUUGUUCGUGGUAAAAAUGAACAUGGUUUGACAUGGAAAUGUAGUAAUUUCCCAAUAAAUCGAUCUAAUUAAAGUCUACUAUAUUUCACAGGCUUUUUGGCGAGGGUCAAAACAAAUAAAAGUGCACUUAACAAGGCAAAAUAUGCACUUGUCCUGUGGCGGUAGAAAAACAAAGUUCUUUAAGACCCGGGGGACUGCUUGUAAUAAAGAUUUAAAUGUAAAAGGCACGAGAGCCGACUGUUUCUGUCAGUGGUAAGUUUUAAUUUAAAAUAUAGGCUAUAUGCUGUUUAAAUGUUUCCACUUACUCGAGCAACUUAAUAUACAAAUCUAGAAGCCAAAUUCAUUGAAUACGUUUAUAUUAAUUGAGUUUAAACGUGAAUAUGUCUAUGAAAGAUUGUGUAACUGUACUGUGAUUAAAAGAGGAUCACAAUGCUGAAGAAAAAAAAACACUUUCAGUAUAGGCUAACAACGUUUGGAUUUGAAAUCAAAAUAAUGGAUAAAUGUUGUGUUUGUGGUAAACAGCCGCGGAUCAGGACCGGACUGCAAACGCGUCCCGUGCAAAACAAUGAGUCCUGCUGCUUCUGCACGGCAUACGCACUGCAAACGGAGCAUGUGUGAAACAGGCGUUACAAGGUAGGAACAUCGAAAUCCAAAAUCAUUUCAAACAUAUGCGGUGCUUUUUACCGUCGUCUGCAGGACUUUGCUCUUCUGCAGACACGCUUUGUUGGGAAGUUGAACCACUGCUCGCGCAGAUCUUUUCCAAAUGCCGUUAUUUGACGUUCAGUCAGCACGUUCAGUGUUAAAAUGCCCCCUAUUGUUUAAACUCUGCAUCAAACGUAAAAUACGCAUGAAGCAAACUGUCAAAAACUACGUAGAUGCUUGUUACCAUAUUUGAUAGUUCUUCAUCUAAAUAAUUGCAGCUUUUGCGAUUUGAAAAUCGCACCCUUUCAAAUCGCGAUUUCGGUUUACAAACGAUUAAUCGUGCAGGCCUAACACAGCCAAACCUGCUCAAUGAUGGGACAACGAGGAACAGCAUUCAUGGAUGCUACACAACUGUCGACAAGUAUCUUGCUGCAGUCUUGUUCAAAGCUACCUGUCAUAUUUGUUAAUGUCUAGGUAAAUUUGAUGAUUUUAUGUGUUUUAUUAACUAUGUUAUGUUUCCGUGCAACACUUAACGAAUGUGACUGACUAAUUAACCUCUACACAUCUGGUAUAUGCUUUAAAGUUGCCACUUUGCCCAUUUGUUAAAUAAACGUUGGAAUUUGUACAUCUGUCUGAAGACUCUUGAUUUUAUGUCUAAUCUUGUACAUUAACACCAUACAAUAGCAUUUUUAUUUUUGCACUGAAAAGAAUACUUUAUUAUUAACACUUAAAGGAUUAAAACAACACCAGGGGUGUUAAAUACCCCAGAGUGUAAAAUUUGAACAACAAUUGCAAGUGUAACAAUUCACACUCGGAGUGUAAUUUUUCUACACUGUAAGGUGCUACAUUAACACUAAAAAUUCAACACUAUGAAUGGUGUACUUUUAACACUAGACCGAU